GGGAAAGCUUUUGCGGUAUGGGAUGGGGUCGCGUCCUAUCAGCUUGAUGGCGGGGUCACGGCCCACCAUGGCUUCGACGGGUAGCCGGCCUGAGAGGGCGACCGGCCACAUUGGGACUGAGAUACGGCCCAGACUCCUACGGGAGGCAGCAGUGGGGAAUAUUGCACAAUGGGCGCAAGCCUGAUGCAGCGACGCCGCGUGCGGGAUGACGGCCUUCGGGUUGUAAACCGCUUUUGACUGGGAGCAAGCCCUUCGGGGUGAGUGUACCUUUCGAAUAAGCACCGGCUAACUACGUGCCAGCAGCCGCGGUAAUACGUAGGGUGCAAGCGUUAUCCGGAAUUAUUGGGCGUAAAGGGCUCGUAGGCGGUUCGUCGCGUCCGGUGUGAAAGUCCAUCGCUUAACGGUGGAUCCGCGCCGGGUACGGGCGGG
rnacentral:rRNA from 1 species